AGUAAAAUAAAGAACUCUCCUCUCCUCUCGUAUGACCCCCACCAGGCUCCUCAGACACAUCUACCAUUUCUUCUGAUUUGCCGCCGGCGAAGGACGGCGUCGUUGUGCCCCAUCAGGAAACUAAUCCUCAUGUUAUCCCAGAUCCACAUGUCUCUUAUUUUCUCCUGAUUUUUCUUCCUUGGUGGUGGCACAUGUGGCUGGAUGAGUGGGUGGAUCUCGGCGACCUCGCUGCUCAAAAUUGUCGUAGCCGGAGGCCCUGGAUGCUGGGGCUGCUUAGGCAUUGAGGGAGGUCACGGAGGAACAAAUUUCAGCAAGACCAGUGCCAGGCUAAACUAUCUGUAUGUACACAGUAGAGAGGUCGUUGAUAUGCUUACAUCCUCUUCUGCUAUUAAGUUGCAAAAGCAAGCACGAAGGGCCACUUCGAGUCGCUUGGUGACAUAAUGAUUUUAGGAGCAUAACCGGCAAGCCUACCUUCAGUUUUAGCUCGUGGUUUGGAAUUCCUGGGAAGGUCAAUUUGUUAAGGAACUCUGUUGGACACAUAUUCUCCAUUGUGUUGUAAUUUGUUGUUGCCUUGCAUACAGUGUCCAAGCUUAGGGUGUGCAUAGUAAAUUCUUCCAUUCGCAAAGCCCCUUUUCCGCUUCUCCCAAGUUUUGGAGUCACUUUUCCAUACAAAUUUUGAUGGGAAUUCUGCAUAGGUUAAUUCUUUUCCCACCUCAUGUAUUUUGUUUGCCUCCAUCCACUCAGUGAACUUAGUACUUGUGGAUCCUGGCAUUCUUACUAUUUUUUCAAUGUCAGUCGAGUCCGGAAAAAUAACUUGUUGCUCGUUUUCAAUGUGGAAUGGCAGUCUCUCUACUGGUGGAUCACGAUGGUGUAUCUCGUCUCUAGGUAUUUCUUCAGAAUGUGGAAUGGCAGUCUCUCUAGGAAUAUCCGCCAGCAUGCUUCGAUUGUUGAUAUGUAUCUCGUCUCUAGGUAUUUCUUGGUUUCAUCAUAGUCGCUUGUCGCGUCCCUUUCCUUUAGUAAGGCUGUUACUUGGUCGUCAUCUUUAUGGAUGUACUUAAAUAGGUACUUGAUUGACCUGGACCUGUUGCACCAUUCCACAUUUAUGUGAGCUUGGAAUUUGACCAAAAGGUUUCUGUUGUAUGGCACAACAAAUCUGUUAUCGAGCAUUGCUCCUCCCUUUUUGAUAUUCCUUCCAUUGUCUUGCCUUCUAUAUACUGGAAAGCCAUCCUCAUCGAUUGUCGUAUCGAUAUUGUACCGUUUUGGGAAGUGUUUAGUGCAUUUGUUGUCUAUCAUGCAUGGUGAUUUUGUAUUUGCCUCUCCGCAAGGCCCGUGCAUCAUGAAGUUUUCAACAGCUUCAUAUCCGUCCAGAUCAACAUCUUUGUCUGGGAUCUCUGCACUGAUUAUUUGGUUGAUUUCUGAUGGUCCUUUGCACUUGUAAUUCUCCUUGAGAAAUACCAAUAUGUGCACAUGCGGGAGUCCCCUCUUCUGGAACUCUAUUGUGUAGAUAACUGCAUUGAUUGAAUAUAUAGUUUUAUUUUGUUAAAAUUUGGAAUCAUUUUAAUACAUAGAUAAAGGCUAUUGUGUGUUUAAAAAUUGAAACUUUAGGUCCUAUUAGUUAGCGAUUAGUAGUCGACUGAUCUUACUUGCUAUAGUUUCUCCAAACUGUUUCUUCACAACGAUAUCUCUCAUUAGCUCCUUCAGUUUUAUCAUGAAUACUCGGUCAACAAUAUCUGGUCGGUCGGCUGGCUUGAGCCCUCCUCCUGCUUCAUCUAGCAUGUAUUGGAUCUCAGGCCACUUUGCAUUGCAUGUGAAUGUUAUAAAUAGGUCUGGAUAUCCAGCCCAACGGCAUAUUGCAAAUGCGUCUUGCAAGUUUUGUGCCUUGUUUCUUCUACCUCCUAUAUAAGAUGAAGGUACAAUUAUCCUCUUUCCGACCUGCUCUGUUCUGGUGUCCCCUUGCUCAAUCGCGUCCUGCAGUCCACUGUAAAGUUCAGUUCGUAGCUUCCCUUGAUUAUUCCUGAUCCAGUUUAGUCUGUUUUGCUCAAUGCAUGUGUAAACAUCCACCCAAAAUUGAAGCGAGAGAUGUCUAGAUGUUAGCAAUGACAUUCCUUGGUCGGGUCUUUGUUGUAGGUAGUAUGCAUAGUAGUCCAGCAUAGUUACAUAUUUCCUGCUUUUGUCACCUUCUUUUGUUCGCUUGUAAGGUAUUUCAAGCUUGAAUCCAUCUUCUCCGUAUGGAAACAAUAACGGGUAUUGCAUUGACAUUAAUUUUGGAUGGAUUUCCGAUAUUCUGUGAGGUUCCAUAUUUUUGUACUCAACAACGAUGUCUCGUCCUUCGCUCUCUCCAGUAGGGUCUCCUACAACUAAUGCUGCAACGUCUGAUGCUGAUGGAAGGUUGUGUGUUCCGUUCCUUUUCCCAAGUAUUUGAAGCGUGUAAUCGUGGUAGUCUUCUUCUUCGAAUCUAUCUCUUGCUAUUCUGAAUGACUUUGCAAGGAUGUUGUUCUCAUCAAGCAUUUCUUGUAGUUCCUUGACAAUGGCAGGGUCCACUGUUGUUUUUUUAUCAUUGCAUCUUGAAGCAUCUAUCCUGUUUUGUACCUCAUUUUCUGUCUGAUAGAUGUAUAGCUGGGCAAAUCGAGGUUUGUUACCUUCUUCGGGUAGAAGACUUCCAAUAUGGUGGUAGUUCUGGCCAUGCAGUCUAAAAACAUAUGGUCCUUUGCCUUUGUUUAUUUCUUUGUCAACAAUUCCUCCCAUUGACGUGAAUGAGAACAUUGAGUUGUAUGACCUUAUAUUUUCUCUGAAGUUUGUUGCAUCACUUCCUUCACCUGUUAAUAGCCCUCCAAGGUAAGGUGGAGGAUAUGCUAUCUUUGGUAGGCCAAUUUUACCUUGUUUGCAGCAAAUUCCGAAAGAAGGUUUUUUGUUUCCUCUAUGAGAAUUUAAUCUUUCUUCACACCAUAGUAUUGCAUUGCAAUGUUCGCAUAUGUAUGUUGGCUUUCCAAAGUUCCAUAUCGUGCUAUAAUAACUUCCGGAUGUAGUGCUGCUGGUUCUUUCUAUGAUGUUUCUUUCAAGCUCAUUGUCGCUUGCAUUUUUUCUUGCACGCUUGACAUCUUUUCUUUCUUUGAUUUGUUCCUUUCUCUUCCCUGAAGCAUCUUCUUCUGUUUUAUUGGUUGUUUCCUGUGUAUUCCUGCAUCUCUUACUCCUUUUUUGUUGGAGUUGUUGUUUCCUCCUGAUAAUAGCUUCUCUAGCUUCUUUUGUAAGUUGGCCUGCUGAUUUUGAUGUGCACUGUCCCUUCAUUUCUGCAUUGGAUAUUCUUUUAGCAAUAUAGUAUAAUAUAAUUCUAAUUUCUGCAUAAUGUCGUCAAGAGGCUAACGAUAUAUGCAAUAAAUAGGAGAUGGUGGCUGCAUGUAGACAAUCUAUAAUACUUCG